AUGUCACCUACAGCACCCUUAGUCUCAACUCAGCCAGAAACUUUAAUGCAAAGGAAAAGUCUGGAUUGGUUUCACAGGCCUUUUAAAAAGCGGACUUAAAAGUUGCUGGCAAUGCAUUCCUUUUCGUCAGAGUCGAGGGGCAAGCUCUCGCUGAAGUCUGGGUGACCUGUGUCCUUUUCCGGAGAGCGGACUGGAGAAGCGAGAGCCGCAGCCAGUUCAGCAGGAAAUUUGUUGGAAGAUGAAGAAACUGAGAUAGGGGGUUGGUGACUUCCACAGGAAAAGUUCUGGAGGACCAUCCAAAGACGAUCAACGUUUCCUUUUUGUGCAGGAAUGAAAAUGGAUUUAGUAUUGUGGACCCUCUGCCGCAUCCCUGUGAAUAUUUCUGUUUAAGUUUUUUUUUCUUGAAAAGAAAUUAUUAUUCAGCCAGGAAAAUAUACUUUAAAUCAAGGAACUUUUGGGUAGCAUUGCAAUUAUAUUACUUUGAGUUGAUAAACUGAGAAAAUAAUUGGAACUCCUGUUUACAUGUGUCAACUUAAAAAAAAAAAACUGCUUCCUUUUGUUACUGAAGAUCUCUUUUUGUAUUUGACCUCAAUUACUGACUUGUGGAGAUGAAGUGAAUGUGAAACCCCACCGUAUACCAUUUUCCUUCUAAGCUAACUGACCGUUCUGGAAUAUCUUGAAUCCUCUUCUGGCAAGGGGUCCCUAUUAUUACUUUAUGGGGCAGCAGCCUGGAAAAGUUCUUGGGGACCAAAGAAGGCCAAGUUUGCCUGCCCUGCACUUUAUCAAAGGAGCAGGGAAGAAGGAAUCACCGAGGCAUGGGGGUCCACACUGCAAUGUGUUUGUGGAACAUGGUGAGUUCUUUUUCAAGAUUUCUGGUUGUGUUUUUCCUUAUGUGCACAACUUAGGCCAUUAAGGAGCUUUUGAGCAACAGUGCUUGUGUCAGUUCCUUCCAUUUCUACUUAAGACUUUUGUUACUGUAGUUA